ensembl:lncRNA
CAAGAGCCUUCACUGUGAUUUCUCUGGGAAGAAAUAGGUGCAGCAUGAUAAGCAGUCUUAACUGGUUUUAAUCAUCUCAGCAGGCUGUAGGGUAUAGGGGCUGUCCCUAGUUCUCUGGUACUUGUCCCUCGGGUGUUGAGCAGGUGGAUAAUGACCCAGGGUGGAGAGUCUCUAAAGGAGACAUUUAAGGAUGUGGGCUCUGGUUUGGUUAGUUUGCACAGGAAAGGCAUGGUCUCAGGUGAAUCAUUUACUCUCUCUAGGAUCUGACUAACCCUGGGAGGUGUAGUCUCUUCAGGAUCAGCAGGGCUCUGAAAUAUCAAAGCAUCAAAUACAGAAACUAGAAAAUGGGGCUAUUACACUAUUGAACUAUUGAUUACAUCUGAGAACCCUGACUGUACAACUUUGAUUUUAAAAAAGAGUUCUGACUUCAGAAUAUUAAAAAUGGAGAAUGAAAAAAUGCAUGCAUCUUGCACCCAAAAUGGUAUGGAAAGUUCAGGCAUUCUUCUACGCAAUUUGCUCACAUCUUGUUGCAUCCUUGCAGCAACCCUAUGAAGCAGCCGUUAUUUUUAUUCCAAAUUCAUUUAUGAGGAAAUUGAGUUUCAGAGGUUAAUAAGCCAUUGUUCCAAAGUCAGACAUAUAGAGGGAAAGCCAGCACCUGAACUCUUGCCUUUGUGACCCCAUAGCCAUCUAACUGCCCUGAUCACAACAUUUGCAUUGUGCUUCUUUGUGGAUGCAGGGUUGGUGGGCCAGGGAACAGAGAUAAGACUAAGUGGGAAGUUCCGAUGCUAGAAUAGAGUAGAAACUGAGGGGACAGACACAACUGUGAGCUCCACAGGCCCCGCUGCACAGGGCGGGGGAGACAGCACCUUGUGUUAUUUUCCGUGAAAAAUUUCUAUCAAAUCAAAAGUAAAGAGAAUCCUAAAACCAAGAUCACAUACCCAUCAUUAUCACCAUGAAGUCAGUCUUGUUUCCCUUUCACUCACUCUUAGGGUGACCACCUAUCCCUGCUUGCCCAGGACUUUCCCAGUUCUAUCACUGAUGCCCAGCAAACCAACAUGGUUGGUCACCUGGCCUCCUUCCAAGAUCAUAUGUUACUUUACCCAGAAAUAUUGCAGACUAUAUUUCUAAAACAUAAGAACCUUUCAAAACUUAAAUACAGUACAAGCAUCACAUCUAAAAAAAUUUUCUUGGUAUCAUGAAAUAUCCAGUUACUUAGCAAAUGUCCUCAACUGUCCUGUAUAUGUGUGUCUGUGUGUGUGCGCACACAUGUGUGCAUGCAAUACCACUGAUUUUAUUAACUAAGAGUAUAUAUAAGGUUUACAAACUGCAUUUGGUUGGUAUAUCUUGAGUUUGUUUGUUUGUUUGUUUGUUUUUAGGGCCGCACCUGCUGCAUAUGGAAGUUCCUGGGCUAGGGGUCAAAUCAGAGCAGUAGCUGCCAGCCACAGCAAUGUGGGAUCUGAGCCAUGUCUGCAACCUACACCACAGCUCAUGGCAACGCCGGAUCCUUAACCCAUUGUUGGAGGCCAGGGAUGGAACCCGCAUCCUCGUGGAUAACUAGUUGGGUUCUUAACAGGCUGAGCCAUGGGAGGAACUCUGAGUCUUUUAAUUUGAAGUUCCUCUUCCCAUCUUUCUAUUUAAAAUUUUUGACUUGUUUGUCUGGUAGAGUUUCCAGCAUUCUGGGUUUUGCUGAUUCAUACCUGCAGUAUCAAGUAACAUGUUCCUCACCCUCUGUGUACAAAUAUAUAACUGAAUCACUUUAUUGUACAGCAGAAAUUAUCACAUUAUAAAUCAACUAUAUGUCAUUAAAAUCUUAAAAAUGAAAAAAUAUAUAGAAAUUCUCAAGCAAGUCACGUUAAAACAAAAACAAACAAAAAGAUUUACGUGUAUAUAUAGAUGGUAUCAGCCAGAUGCACACAUUAUAAAGCUCUUCUUCAGGUUUUUACCCAGUUAUUUUAGUCACUACUGAUACCAAUGCCUAGAUCUGUUAUUUUUUUAGGAAUACAAGGUGAUGAUAUUAAAAAUCUAUCAUCGGAGUUCCCAUUGUGGCUCAGUGGUAACAAACCCAACUAGUAUCCAUGAGGAUGCAUGUUUGAUCCCUGGCCUUGCUCAGUGGGUUAAGGAUACAGUGUUGCUGUGAGCUGCAGUGCGCAGACACGGCUCAGAUCUGGCAUUGCUAUGGCUGUGUCAUAGGCUGGCAGUUACAUCUAUGAUUUGACCCCUAAUCUGGGAACUUCCAUAUGCCAUGGGUGUGGUCCCUCAAAAAAAAAAUCUAUCAUCCAUUCAUUGUUAGCUGAAAUUUUUCUAAAAGAAUAUGCCACCAUCAGAUUUUUGUUCACCCCUACGUAGGGUUUGUACAGAAAUAAUUAGAUUGAACUUUUUAUGUUUCCCUUUAUUAAAUCAGUUUUCAGAUAUGUAAGUUAGUAUCUUACCAUCUCCAGAGGUGACUGUUGAGUUUUCAUUUUUUUUCAAAGUGUCAUUCUGAACUCAUUCAUUUCUAACAUAUUUAAUUAUUUUGAUUCAGUAUGUAUAUUCUUUUUGAAGUUAACAUUGAACCACUUUGUGCCAAUAGCAAUAUCAUCUUAGGACCCCUGUUGAAUCUUUUUGACCUGACCCCAGUGGUCUUUGUUUUCUUUCCUGCCCUCUGGUUAAAUAGCAUAUUCUGGUGGCACGUUUACUAUCUCCUAGCCUACGCAAGGAAUUGACCAUUUACCUAAAGAGCUUGGGUUCCCUUUAGUGGGACAUGGUGUUUAGAAACCACAGUCUGAGCUACGUCACUGUUUCUAGGCUUUUUAUGUAGACAGAGCUAGGAAGUGAACACUUUAAAAGGAGAAGCUCUAUCAUUGUUCUUAUCGAUAUAUGCCAGGUCAGAGGGUUUAUACCCAUGUUUUCUGAUUCUGUACUUGGAUACCACUUCCCCAUGACAAAAUUCUCGCCCAUUACAGCAACAUAGUUACUCCCUCAUUUAUCCUACAACAUUCUUACAACAGUUUCAGAAUAACAAUAUCAAUAUUACAACUAAAAAUAUGAUUUCUGAAAACAACUUGCAAUUUCUUGGCAGUUAUUUUUAACCUUAGGCUGUAGCCCAGUAGGGACAUGCAGGCAAAUUACUGUAUUUUGGAAUGGUUUAAUGUAAUUCCUCACCAAGUCACCAACUUGAUAAACAUGUUUAGUUCAUUUACUUCAUUGUGUUUUAGAUUUUGAGGGAUUGUUUUUUUAAUUUUCAUUUAACUUCAUAACUUUGUAAAAUAUUUUUGUAUGUAAAAAGUAAAAUAUUUAGAAUAGAUUGCAUUUAGAGAAGUCUGCUAUCCAUCUCUCUCCCCUCCACAUCAUGUUAUUUUUUUUAACCACUUCUGUUAGGUAACUUUAAAAAAGGUUUUGCUUAUUCUCUCAUUGCUUUUUUUACAUAUAAGCAAAUAAAUAUCUAUUCAUAUCUGCUCCCUCUCUUAGGUUAAAAAGUAGCAUAUUAUUCUUCACCUUAGUGUUUUACAUAAGAAUGUAUGUCAAUAUGUACAUACGUUAUUUUCUCUGCCAGGCACAUCACAAUUUUCCUUUGCUUAGAACCUCUUGAUAGCACUUCAUUAUUAUGUUUGGGGCCAUUUUAAACAAUGAAAUCAACAGCAAAGGGCACAAAAAGGCAACAACCGUGGCACUAAAUACUGUGUUAACAUACUUAAGUUUACACUCUGAGAACUAAAAGAAGAAGGCAGAGAGUUGCCUUGUUUGACUUCAGCUGGGAACGUACGCAUCAGACAACUCAGAUUUUUGCUGUUACGCCUGGGAAUGACUGCAAAAGUGCCAACAAUAUUAACUUUGGAAUUGCAAAUAAAUUUUAGCUAGUACAUUAAUUUGCAACUACAGAAUCAUAAAUAAUGAGAAUUGGUUGUAUUCUUCAUUUCAUUUUUACGGUUGGUAAUACUCCACCGUGUGGCUAUACCAUAGUUUUUUCAACUGAUCCUCUCUUGAUAGACAUUUGUGUACUUGCUAUUACAAAUAAUACCACAAUGAAUAUUUCAUUCAUUUUUGACAGUUUCUCCUUGGAAUGGAGUCCUCGAAGUGGGAUUGGUAGUUAAAUGCUAAAUGCACUCAUAAUUUUUUUUUAAAGCAUAGACAGUUUCCUCUCAAAGUGUUGUACCAUUCUGUAUUGCCACCAGAAUAAAUGAAAGAGCCUAUUUCCCUGCAACCUUACCAACAGAAUAUGUUGCACAUCUUUUGGUUAUUUUUCAGUCUAUGAAUGGUUAUUUCAAUGUACUCUUAAUUUGCAUCUCUCUAAUUUUGGCUGAUGAUGCAUAUUUUGUGCAUAUUGGGUGAUCUUUGCAUAUUAUUAGGGUGCACUUGUAUUUCUUUUUCUGUAAUUGUUGGUUCACAGAUCUUAUAGGAAGAAAUUUCUUUUUGGCAGUGAAGAUGAGAAGUAAAAUGCUUUCAGAGUAGGUGUUCCUAAUAAGGAGGCAGAAGAAUGAAGGACACAAGGGAAGGAUCUCUGAGGGCAAGCAGGUGGCAAUCUUCAAGUAGAAAACAUAGUCAUGCCUUUAAGGCAAGUUUGGUAUGAAAGAAGGCAUUGGCUCUCAGCCAGUCUGGAGCUUAAAGUGUUUUUGGAGUCAUGGGGCAGGAAGUGUGGCGAUGGCGGCUAGAUAGGGAACCCAUCAGAUCUAAGAAAAGAGGGGCAAGCCUUGACGUGUGGAAAUGGUUCAAUAUGGUGGAGAAAGGAGAUAACGGAGUCACUGUAUAGUCAAGAGCACUGGCUCAGAAAUCAUAGAAUAAUUAGAUCCCCUUUCUUUCCACUUAGUAGCUGUACAGUCUUGCCCAGGUUUUAUCAUCCUCCUAAACCUCAUUUUCCCCAUCUUAUAAGGAAUAGAUGUGACCUCCUAGAGUUUCUGUGAUGAUUAAAUGAGAAUUUUGUAUAAAGGAUUUUGCAUCAUUCAUGGUAUACAUUAAAUGAAUAAUGAGCGAUAGCUAUUACUACAGUAUGAAGAAAACUCCCUACCUUCACCGGGGCAUGCCUUAGAAGUAGGGCAAGGAAUGAUGGUAGGAGACUUGAGUGGAUCCUGCCACGAACAGCAGGGGUUGCUAGAUGAGGGAGGAGGUAACUUCCACCCCAUGUGUUGUGCUUCAAGAAGCAGAAGAUAGCUCGUGACACUCCGCAGGGAAAGAACAAAUGUGCAAUUAACAUUUUUCUCUACCAUCUGAUUAGAUCUGAGGUCUUUGCCACCCAAUACAGGCACACUCCUCUUUCUAAGUACACUCUGAACUGGUUCUGGAUCAGUUGGUCCUCACUCAUAUUGACUCAUAUUUUUGGAUUGUGAGGCUAUCCUCCUCCCGUCUUCCAUAACUACAAGAAAGAAGACAUAAACAAGGUCAAGUUAGUUCACUCUUGGAUCUACUCAUUUCAACUACACAGUGGCUAAUUCACAGAUGAGAUGAGUAUGUGACCUAAACAGAGCCAGUGAAGCAUAACAAGUUUUGGCUGGUCCUUCAGGGAAAGAGAUUCUUCACUCUUCCCACAAGGAAUUUGAAAUCGAUAGGAUGUAAGUUCUGAAAACAUGAUUAUCUUUGCAUGAUGAAAGAAUUUGUCAAAAAGAAAGAAAGAAAGAGAGAGAGAAAGAGAGAAAGAGAGAAAGAGAGAAAGAGAGAAAGAAAGAAAGAAAGAAAGAAAGAAAGAAAGAAAGAAAGAAAGAAAGAAAG